GAUGAACGCUGGCGGCGUGCCUAAUACAUGCAAGUCGAGCGAACGGACGAGAAGCUUGCUUCUCUGAUGUUAGCGGCGGACGGGUGAGUAACACGUGGAUAACCUACCUAUAAGACUGGGAUAACUUCGGGAAACCGGAGCUAAUACCGGAUGAUAUUUUGAACCGCAUGGUUCAAAAGUGAAAGACGGUCUUGCUGUCACUUAUAGAUGGAUCCGCGCUGCAUUAGCUAGUUGGUAAGGUAACGGCUUACCAAGGCAACGAUGCAUAGCCGACCUGAGAGGGUGAUCGGCCACAGUGGAACUGAGACACGGUCCAGACUCCUACGGGAGGCAGCAGUAGGGAAUCUUCCGCGAUGGGCGAAAGCCUGACGGAGCAACGCCGCGUGAGUGAUGAAGGUCUUCGGAUCGUAAAACUCUGUUAUUAGGGAAGAACAUAUGUGUAAGUAACUGUGCACAUCUUGACGGUACCUAAGCAGAAAGCCACGGCUAACUACGUG
rnacentral:rRNA from 1 species